GCCAUGGGAAGGUGAUGGAGUAACAGAGUAGCUGAACUUGACUGAAAAGAUGUUUAAUUUAGAGAUUGCCAGAUACCCUUCUGGCAACUUCAUAUUAAGGUUUUUAUAUGCUGUGGGGUAUUUCUUGUUCUCUGGGUCAAAUUUGGAUAUAUUCUUACGGUAGAAUGUAUUGUGUGUCAGCUGACAUGCAUUAUGCUCUAUCUAUGUCUUGUGAAAGUAAAAUUAGGCAAGCAAGAUGUUCUGAGGCAAAAUUUGAAUAAGAUACAUUAGAAUUAAGAAAACAGAUACAGAAACACGCUUUCAUGGGUUAGAGAAGAAGAUUUAAAACAAGAAAUCUAAAAGGCCUGAAAAUAUAGUAACUGUCCUUAAAUUGUCUCUAGUAAAUUUACUUUCUAAAAGAAGAUAUCCAAAGACUUAAUUGUAUUUCAUGCCCCUAGCUCUAAUGCCACACUGUUUCAGUAUUUAUAUAUGCCCUGUAAAGCUGGUAUAUUUGAUAUGUCAUUCAUUAGUCUGUGCUGGCUUAUUCUUUGAGGUGUGGUAAUUAAGAUCAGUUCUUUAGAGGAUUCAGUUAUUCUGUUUUGGGCUUGUUAAUAUGUUAGUUGUGUAUUCUGAUUCCAAUUGUUUAAUGGUUUCCAUUAAAUAAUGAAUAAAACCCCUUUCGGGAAGCCAGUUAGAAAUGCAUGACUUAUUCAGUGUGAGGUAUCUUCAAAUCUUGGCAGCUUUGGGCUGAGGAAGAAUUGAAAAAUAGUUUUAUCCCCAACCACACAGUGACAAAGUGAUUGGAUUGUUUUAUAUGGUAGUGAAAUUGUUUGUACGGGAAAGUGACUUUGUCUUUGUUACAUAUUUGUUUCAUAAAUUAGAAAAAAAGAUCUAAGGUAAACGUUCAGCUCAUCUGGUUUAUAACAGAAACCAUGACUAUAGUGGAUAGAGUACAAAGAUGAGCUCAUCCAAGAAUUCUUCUGAAACAGCAAUUUAUCACCUAGGUAAUUUUAAAGGUUCCUCGUGUCAUUGUAAGGGUGGCAGACGCAGACUUUAAAAAAAUGUUCUUUAUAGUACCUGAAUAGGCUGAUGCUUAAAACAGAGACUUAACUAAUGAUAGACUAUGCAUCUUGUAACUAUUGGCUAAAAAUCUUCAGCAUCUGCACUGAAAUGGAUCACAGAAAAUUGUCUCUUCUUCCAUUCAACAAGGAUGACUUCCAGUAUCAUUAGCAAUUGUUCCCAAGAAAAUUCUGGUUUGGAUUAUAUUAUAUAUACAAUGGGAAUUUAUUUGAGGUUUCCCAAGUUUACUAGUUCCAUUCCCAUGAGCUAACAGACAGUAGAUCAAGUGCUUAACAGUCAAGAAUUCCCAUGGCAAAUAUCCACCAACGUCCCUUUCAUCUGAUGCAAUGGCAUAGUGCCCAUUCUUCUGCUUCAUCAUUCUCCUUCAGUAUACUCAGAGUUCCAGGAAAGGGCCAUAUCAUGUAUUAGACUUCGCGGGAGACAUGAAGCCUAAUCUUUAAAACCUUAUGGUUCUAUUUCGUUUUUUUUUGCUGACCACUGGAAACAAUUACAGAACAGACAACACAUGAGAAUGUCUGACAGCUUCUUCAGUUUCUUUGCGCUCAAUUGCUUAAUGAGACUUUAGGUUUAUGCUUAUUGCAAUCACAGUACCAGAGACUUCAUUUGCAUCUACAUCUUGCAAAUGGACAAGAACUGGGUAACUGAUGGUCAAGAUGGCUCUCGUGAGGGCACCUGAAACCCACCUGUUUGGCCUGGACAUACCUGCUGAUAUUGGCACUAUGGAUCUCACAUCAAGAUGCAGCUUUAAAGGUGAGAUCUGCAUACCACAAGAUGAGGACAAUAGGACCCAUCCAGACAGCUAAUGUGAUUCGCCAAUAAAACACCAGAAUAUGACAUUGCUGCAUAACAUAGAAGACCUUCUCUUGCUUUUAUGUACAUAUUUGUUGCAAAGAAGAAUAAGAAAGUGUUUAAGGAAUAUAUUAACUCCCCUACAGUUCCUUAAAAUGAAAGUAUGGGCUAUGAAUUAUGUACACCUCUCUGUAAGGACCAAAGCCUGACAAAAAAAAGAAACAGAAGAUUUGCAUUCAGAGACAUCUCUAUUUUAAUAGAGAAGGAUUUUACCCAAAAGUACGUGCUACUGUGUGACAGACAGCUGCUUGACUGGCAAGAGGGAAGCAGAUGACUACCUGAUGAUGGCCAAUUUUCCUGCAGCUCAGUUGGAGGGCUUCUAGUCCAAGCCAAGUUGUCUUGGCUCCCUCUAUAGUCCAAAUAAAGAAAAAGGCACUUCUGGAGAGCAGCUGUUCUCAUACCACACGUUUAUCUUUGGUGCACUGAUGCCUCUUGAUCCCCAGUGUGCUGCAGAGGGGACCUUGAUGAGCAUCUUAGACAAGAACUCAAGUAUUUGACAGUCAACACCAGGCUGUUGAACUAACUGUUACUAGGUUUUCAAACAUAAUGGAAAACAGUGGGAAGUAGAAUUUAAAUAGGACUUGAACAGCAAUUUUGCAAUUUUUCCAGCCCUAACAGAAACUUUAUAAGACUUCUAAAUGCCUCACACAUCCUGUCCUCCCAAGGUUCUGGAUGUUACUUGUGAGAUACCCUUGGACUAGGGUUGUGUCUUCUGCUCAUUGCUGUACAGAGCUAUCUUAUGGAGCAAGAGGAUAGCCAAAAUAUCCUGUGCUUUGUGUGUGAACUUACUAAAUGGCAUCCAAUUUAUCUACAGAGAACAUUUAAGCAAGCAGAAAAGUAUUUCCCAUUGUGUAUGCACAAUCAGACUGGUACACUGCACAGUUAGUUUCUGCUAUGAAUUCCAGAGAGUUCAAAAGGUAACAUUAGUUGCACCUAUGUGGUUUUGCUCAAGUAAAUGAGGACAUUUUCUCUGCACAGUGCCCACACUUUCGCUACUAGCAGCUACUUCUAGUUGUGCACAGCCAAGAGCCAUUUUCUUUCAAAAUAUGUUCCAUGAUCCCAAACUUUUCUGCGUGGACUUAUUUGGGAAAGAACAAAGCCAGCUGAUGCCCUGACUCUUGCUCCAGUCGAUGGGGGUACAUACAACCCUGUCUGGAGGAGUGAAGUCAGGUGAGUGCAAUCAGGAUACAUGCAGUUGGAAACCUUCCUGCCUUUCCUCCCAUCAGGUCUUUGUCACACUCUACUCUAAAUAAGAGCACAUGUUACUUAAGACAGUAAUGUGAACAUUUUGCAAGGCGAAUUGCUGCAGAUAUGUAAUGGCAGAAUGUGGAAGAGGAUAAGCAACAAAUGCUCUGCAUUGUCAGGCUCAUACCACAGAUUAUCUCCUAGAGAAUUACAUUACUCCACCUGGAUGCUAAUAAAUAUAUUCAAGUAAAUUCCACUAUAUUAGUAUGGCAUUUUUAGCUUAAAAAUGUAUUAAACUCAAUUCAUACAAAAGUAUUAGCAUUUCAAAACUAGACCUAUACAGAAAUAUUUUCCUUACCAAUUUCCUGAUCUGAGUCACUGCUUUUAAUUCAAGACAGCUGUUCCAUGACAGGACAGGACUCAACUGAGAUCCCAGUGAUGACUCCAUUGCCUUGGGUGUAGUAACGAAGACGUGGCCACUGCAGGGUUGUGGUCUGGUUUUUAAACAUAACAUGGCAAGUUAGUGAAACAUUAAAAUGCAAGAGAUCAUUAUAUUCAAGACUUUCUCUUCCCUGCUCCUUCUCCUAAGGGGAAAUCAGACACACAGGAUUGUAGACUUCUGCCAUCACUUGCCAUGGGUGGGUGCAGUUGGACACCAGCUUAAGACAGAAAGGACAAAGCUGAGGAUGAGCUGAAAGUGCUUGCACCAGCCCCACGGCUCCAUGCUCCUCCAGUGUGUUUUUGAGUAGCAUCAUGCUUCUGAGAAUAUGUUCCUUAGAGGACUUGGUGAAAAAGAAUAAGAGCAUGAUAAGCAAGACCAAAUAAAUAUUACAUAAACUUAUUUUCAUAAGUAAAUCUCAAGGUACUUUACAAUGGAAGGUCCAUCUUUUUUCCUUUAUGCAACACGAGAAACUGAGGCACAGAGAAAGUACAUAAAUAAAUAUAAAUUAUAAAUUCUUCAGAUUUUGUCUUGAACAGAAAUCAGAAUUUACAAUUCAUUGGUUAUUCUGAAAUAAAAAAUAAAAUAUAAAAUAUUGAAAGGGAGAAAAGUAAACUGGAACUUUGUUGUCAACAUUAGACAGGAAGCUAGAAAAUGUUGUCACUUUAACCCAGGGAAUGUCCUUCGUCAUUGUAUAUUACAGUGUUAAAAAGGUAUAAUCAGUAGUACGGAUUAAAAGUCAAAUAACAGUAAUUAUAAUGAUGGAAUAUAUCUUUUAUUGAAAUAUGUCAUAUUAAAAAGAAAUAAAAUGAACAGUGUAGGUUAUUCUCAAUUGGCAAUUUUGUUUAUACAAUCAAAUUUCUGCAAAAUUCUCCAACUAUGAAAACAAACUUUUUUUUUUAAUGGAAAAGGGUUUAGUUUAUCUUAAGACUUGAUGUGGUGACAUUAUGUUGGCUGUGUUUUAUGCUGUGGAUUUACUGUCAUACCCAGUGACGUCAGCACAGACCACGUCAUUAAGUUAGGGGUUCACCACUUCAACCAAGUGUUUAGCUUUCUGGGUUGAAGGUUUGGAGAAAUUUAUUUGUGGGAUGAAUGGAGAUUUAGGCUGUUGAAGCAUAAGUGUUGUUUAGAAAAUAUGUGCUAUUUACAUUGUGCACAAAACUAUAUGAGACACAGAUAUAAGAAUGUAUUACUAUGUAUAUAUCUAGUAUAAACACACCAUGAUUAAAUAUCAUUUGUUCUGUAAUUAUCAAUUGAGAAAAUAAAUUGUAAGACAAAAGCAUUGGUAAUGAUUGAACACAGACAGUUUAAUCAAGCAGCAACUUUUGAAGAAGUAAUUUUGUCCUAAAAGUCAAAAGUAAGUAAAGCCAUAAUUGAACUUAAACUGCUGAAGUUCAAAUUAAAGCACAUAUUCACCAUCAAUGACUGUGCCUAAAGACACAGGCAGUGAUACAGAGGCAGAAGUGAGAAGCACAGCUGGUUCAAGCACAGCUGGCACCUCCCUGGGAAAGUGCCAAUAAUCCCUCUGACACAUGCAAGGCUCCCAGUGCUGGAGAAAACCAAGAAUACAGGGCUAAAAUUUGGCAGCUACUUAUCAGCAUGUGAUUUAGUGACAUAAGAUAGCUAAGUACAUAAUUACCUAUAUAUAUAUUUUUUAAUUCUCAAAAUACUGCUGGUGCACAGGAGUUCUCAAUGGGAAUCAGGAAGAAAUCUGGGAGACUUUCCAAGUGCAGGAUUGGAAGGCUUACAUAGUCACAAUUAUGAUUUUAGAAAAACAGACCACAAAUAUGUCACGCAGACUGGAGAGUGUGAUGUAUAGAUAAACACAUACACACUGCAUUGAUUGUAUUUUGUAACAAAAGGGAUGAAGACCAGCAUGUGUGUCUUUGACAGGAUAGCUCAAACAAAAAUCACAUGUACAGCAAACAUUCCCCAUAAUUCUUGAAAUUAGGCAAAAGUGUGUUAAAACUCCAAGUUGCACAAGGACUUAAAAUGCUUGUAUGCAGUUUGGGAAAUGACUGAAGGAAAAUAGAAAGUGUCUGUGACAAGAAAGCAAAAAGACAGCUUUGAGAUGAUGGUAACAUAUUUUUAGAGCAUAAGUAAGUUCUCUUAAAAUCAGUUCUCUCUAUGCUUGUUCAUUACUCCUAGUCAUAUUACUAGAAAUUCCUUCAACGUACCUGGGAGCACAAAUUAACAUAAUAUUAGCAAUGAAUCUACUGACAUAUUUCAAGUACUUGGACUACUGUGAACUGAGAGAUUGAGUCAAUUUUAAGAGAUCACUUAAAAUCAACUUCAGUACAUUGUUUCUCCUGGUGUGAAGUAAUGUGGUUAUGUGGUCUCACUCAACAAAGUCGUGCCUGCGUGGAGCAGCUGGUGUGCCUGAUCUUCACGUGUGGUCUCCCCUUGAUUUUGCUGGAUUCAGGAUCAUCUGCAGAGAGCAUAUGUAUCUGGAUAAUGGAUUUGCCUCACUGAAACUGCAGCCUUCAAGACAGACCAGCAGCUCAGCAGUGCACCUGGAUACUUUAGCAGGAAAUGAAGCUGUUUGGAAUACAAAGGAAAAAAAAAUCUGCAUGGGUCAUGUUUUUCGUAUGAAAAUAAUUAGAUAUUGUAGAUAUUCCUUCCCCUCUCUGGAUGAUUCUCACAGAUCAAUGAGUGGAGGCUGUCCUGAGUGGUCCAG
ensembl:lncRNA